GCUUAAAGGGGCCGUAGCUUGAUAAUAGGGUCCCUUGAGAAAUCCGCCGGCUUAACUGGCGGGCGUUCAGGGGAAACUUGUUUUCUAGGGACCGGGAGAGGUGAGGGGUACUGCCGGGGUAGGAGUGAAAUCCUGUAAUCCCGGUGGGACCACCUAUGGCGAAGGCAUCUCACCAGAACGGGUCCGACAGUGAGGGACGAAAGCUGGGGGAGCAAACCGGAUUAGAUACCCGGGUAGUCCCAGCUGUAAACUAUGUGCGUUAGGUGUGUCAGUGACCACGUGUCACUGAGGUGCCGAAGGGAAACCGUGAAACGCACCGCCUGGGGAGUACGGUCGCAAGGCUGAAACUUAAAGGAAUUGGCGGGGGAGCACCACAACGGGUGGAGCCUGCGGUUUAAUCGGACUCAACGCCGGGAAUCUCACCGGAUAAGACAGCUGAAUGAUAGUCGGGAUGAAGACUCUACUUGACUAGCUGAGAGGAGGUGCAUGGCCGUCGUCAGUUCGUACUGUGAAGCAUCCUGUUUAGUCAGGCAACGAGCGAGACCCACGCGAGCAGUUGCCAGCUUGACCUUCGGGUUGAUGGGGACACUGCUCGGACCGCCUCUGCUAAAGGGGAGGAAGGACUGGGCAACGGUAGGUCAGCAUGCCCCGAAUUAUCCGGGCUACACGCGGGCUACAAUGGACAGGACAAUGAGUUUCGACACCGAGAGGUGAGGAUAAUCUUCUAACCCUGUCCCAAGUUCGGAUUGCGGGUUGUAACUCACCCGCAUGAAGCUGGAAUCCGUAGUAAUCGCGUUUCAACAUACCGCGGUGAAUAUGUCCCUGCUCCUUGCACACACCGCCC
rnacentral:rRNA from 1 species